AAUGAAGAGCCUGACUAAAGGACUAUCGUGAUAGGAUAGAAGAUGUAGAACCAUUAAAUCUACCUUCAUUA
rnacentral:tRNA from 1 species